UCCGGUUUAACACCGGCAGUCUCGCUAGAGUCCCCGACAUGACUCGCUGGCAACUAGCGACAAGGGUUUCGCUCGUUAAGGGACUUAACCCGACAUCUCACGACACGAGCUGACGACAGCCAUGCAGCACCUGUGCACGUUGUACCCGAAGGCCUGGCUCCCCUUUCAGGGAGUUAAUCCGUGCAUGUCAAGACUUGGAUAAGGUUCUUCGCGUAGCCUCGAAUUAAGCCACAUCCUCCACCGCUUGUGUGAGCCCCCGUCAAUUCCUUUGAGUUUUAAUCUUGCGGCCGUACUCCCCAGGCGGAUAACUUAAUGCGUUAGCUGCGCCACCAAAAGCCCAUGGCCCCUGACAGCUAGUUAUCAUCGUUUACGGCGUGGACUAC
rnacentral:misc_RNA from 1 species